rfam:Salmo salar isolate Sally breed double haploid chromosome ssa21, whole genome shotgun sequence.
UGCAUUCACUACUGUAAGUCGCUCUGGAUAAGAAGCGUCUGCUAAAAUGACUAAAA